AGCAGAAUGAAUGAAUUUUAAUACUGAACCAAAAUCAUCUUGUCCUCUCAGGCACUUCUAACAUUUAGGUGCUUUGUAAAGAAGCUAAAUUUAUGGUGGUAAGAAAUAGUACUCAACUCCACGAUUACACCUUCUACUAAGGGAGAGUGGAUCAGUGCCAGUGGUGAUGAUGGAGAAAACCAAGAAGGGCCGUCUUUCCUCAAGACUUAGCUAUAUUCCUUGUGUUUGAAAAAGAAGACCAGCACCAGAUGUCAUAUAACUGAAAAAUUAUGGACCAAAUUGAAUUUUUUAAGAAACAUGAGGUUUAAGUUUUAAAAAACAGAAUGUUACUGACUUUCCUAAGUACAAAUUCUGGAUGCAGGUGAUACGGACGUAACCUAUAAACAAGGCCCAGCGUCCAGGAAAAACAAAGACAAACAAACCCCAAACCAGGAUGCUAAUGAAACAGCCUCUUACGUUCUAGUUCAGCUAUCAAACAUACAUAGUUGGCUACAGAAAGUAUUUUUAACUGAAUGAUGACAAGUGGAAUCUAACAUCUUCAGAUGCUAAGGAGGACCUUCUGAGAAACCGUGCUGCAGUUUCUAGCCAGCGCACAAAGCCAAGGAGAACAAACACAGCAGCAAAACGUACAGCGGAGAAAGGAAGAAUAAAACUGUCAUUCUCAGAUGACGUGAGUCUAGGCUUGGAAACUUUAAGGAAUUGGAAUUAAGAAGACUUCUCAU